rnacentral:rRNA from 1 species
GAUGAACGCUAGCGGCAGGCCUAAUACAUGCAAGACGAACGGUAAGUUUGAUAGCAAUAUUGAACCUAGAGUGUCGUAAGGGUGCGUAACACGUAUGCAAUCUACCCUCAACAGGAGGAUAGCUCCCCGAAAGGGGAAUUAACACUCCAUAAGAUCACAGGAUGGCAUCAUUCAGUGAUUAAAACUCCGGUGGUUGAGGAUGAGCAUGCGCAUGAUUAGUUAGUUGGCGGGGUAAUGGCCCACCAAGACGAUGAUCAUUAGGGGAACUGAGAGGUUGAUCCCCCACACUGGCACUGAGAUACGGGCCAGACUCCUACGGGAGGCAGCAGUAGGGAAUAUUGGACAAUGGGUGCGAGCCUGAUCUAGCCAUGCCGCGUGGACGAUGAAGGCCUUAGGGUUGUAAAGUCCUUUCAGCUGGGAAGAUAAUGACGGUACCAGCAGAAGAAGCCCCGGCUAACUCCGUG